rnacentral:rRNA from 1 species
UACGGGGGGAGCAAGCGUUGUUCGGAUUUACUGGGCGUAAAGGGCGCGUAGGCGGCCAGCACAAGUCAGUUGUGAAAUCUCCGGGCUUAACUCGGAAAGGUCAACUGAUACUGUGCGGCUAGAGUGCAGAAGGGGCAACUGGAAUUCUCGGUGUAGCGGUGAAAUGCGUAGAUAUCGUAAGGAAGACCAGUGGCGAAGGCGGGUCGUCUGGACAGUUCCUGACGCUGAGGCACGAAGGCCAGGGGAGCAAACGGG